AUUGAACGCUGGCGGAAUGCUUUACACAUGCAAGUCGAACGGCAGCACGGACUUCGGUCUGGUGGCGAGUGGCGAACGGGUGAGUAAUGUAUCGGAACGUGCCCAGUCGUGGGGGAUAACGUAGUGAAAAUUACGCUAAUACCGCAUACGAUCUAUGGAUGAAAGCGGGGGAUCGCAAGACCUCGCGCGAUUGGAGCGGCCGAUAUCAGAUUAGGUAGUUGGUGGGGUAAAGGCCCACCAAGCCAACGAUCUGUAGCUGGUCUGAGAGGACGACCAGACACACUGGAACUGAGACACGGUCCAGACUCCUACGGGAGGCAGCAGUGGGGAAUUUUGGACAAUGGGCGAAAGCCUGAUCCAGCCAUUCCGCGUGCAGGAUGAAGGCCCUCGGGUUGUAAACUGCUUUCGUACAGAACGAAAAGGUUUCUACUAAUACUGGGAGCUCAUGACGGUACUGUAAGAAUAAGCACCGGCUAACUACGUGCCAGCCGCCGCAGUAA
rnacentral:rRNA from 1 species